GAGUUUGAUCCUGGCUCAGGAUUAACGCUGGCGGCGUGCCUAACACAUGCAAGUCGGGCGGCAGCGAGUUUUACACUAAAUUCUGGAAACUUCUAGUUUGAAAGGAGAUAUUUCAAGAAUUUUGUGUAGAAUGUCGGCGAGCGGCGGACGGCUGAGUAACGCGUGGGAAUAUACCCCAAAGUGAGGGAUAACGCAUCGAAAGGUGUGCUAAUACCGCAUAUGGUCUUCGGAUUAAAGCAUUUAUGCGCUUUGGGAAUAGCCUGCGUCAGAUUAGAUAGUUGGUAGGGUAAUGGCCUACCAAGUCAACGAUCUGUAACUGGUUUGAGAGGAUGAUCAGUCAGACUGGAACUGAGACACGGUCCAGACUCCUACGGGAGGCAGCAGUGAGGAAUCUUCCACAAUGGGCGAAAGCCUGAUGGAGCAACGCCGCGUGCAGGAUGAAGGCCUUCGGGUCGUAAACUGCUUUUAUAAGUGAGGAUUAUGACAGUAACUUAUGAAUAAGGAUCGGCUAACUACGUGCCAGCAGCCGCGGUCAUACGUAGGAUCCGAGCGUUAUCCGGAGUGACUGGGCGUAAAGAGUUGCGUAGGUGGUCUAAUAAGCGAAUAGUGAAAUCUGGUGGCUCAACCAUUCAGACUAUUACUCGAACUGUUAGACUCGAGAACAGCAGAGGUAACUGGAAUUCCUAGUGUAGGAGUGAAAU
rnacentral:rRNA from 1 species